rnacentral:lncRNA from 1 species
AAGUCAAGGGAAUAGAAAGCCAAGGGAAGGACAAAGAAAAGAAAAAGGAGGAGAAAGUAAGGGAGAAAAGUGAACAUAAUGUAAAAGCGCCAGAUAAAUCAAAAGGAAACAAUAAGGUUGACCUUAUAGGUAUCCAUAAUGCAAAAGCCUCUCAUCUUCCCAAGGAGAUCACUGUGAGUGGUCUCAAUGGAGGGAAUCCAAGGAAACGAAAGGAAUUAGACACAAACGGAUUCUUUAAUGGUAAGCCAUAAUGAAGGAAACACAUUUAUUUUUAAGAUUAUCCCUCCCCAAUUUCACCUAUGCCUUCUUGUUAAUAACUGGUUCUGCUUCAUUUUAUUUCUGUUGCAGCUAAUGGCAUUAAGCCCAGUAAGAUGCCAAGACCAGAUUCCUCUCACCCAUUCAUUCAGAAUGGGAAGAUGUUGGAAACUGCUGGAACUUCCAUUGCAUCUGUAUCAGAUAGGCAAGGGGCAGUCAAUAAUAUUAAGGUCGAUGCUAAAGAACGCAAGAUAAAUGGUGUAAUAGCAACUCGG